GGAUGCAUUGAAUACAGCUGUGAUGGGAGAUUUAAGGUCUAAUAAAGAAGAAAUAGUGAAAGCUGUUCUUGGCGUGCAACUUGUUAUCAAAGAAAGUAUUUAUGGUUUCCAUGGCAACAAGAAAAUUCCGUUUAUCAAGAUCACUGUGGCAAUACCUCGCCUCAUUGCACCAGCAAAAAGGCUGCUCGAACAUGGUUUCAGUUUUCCAGGUUAUGGACAAUUCUGCUUUCAGUCCUACGAGUCUAACAGAUUUUGAAAUUAGGUUCAUGGUAGACAGUAAUGUUGUUGGUUGUAACUGGAUAGAGGUUCCAGCGGGGAAGUACUGUAUCAGACAAGGAAAACUCUAACCAAUCUGAUGCAAAGAGACCUCCGAUGAAAUCUAGAUGUCAGAUUGAGCUGGACGUGUCCUGGCAGGACUUUAUCUCACAUAUGCCUGAAGGAGAAUGGUCCUGAGUUGCCCCAUACAGAAUUUUGAGCUUUGAUAUAGAAUGUG